AAAUAAAUAUCAAGAAAAGUAUAUUAAUUACUAUACAAAAUUCAAAUACUAUCGAUAAAAAUUUAUUUUUAUAUCUUACACCCGUCUAAAUAGGCGGGCCUUAUCUACUAUUAAUAUAAUU
rnacentral:sRNA from 1 species